UACGGAGGAUGCGAGCGUUAUCCGGAUUUAUUGGGUUUAAAGGGUGCGUAGGCUGUUAUAUAAGUCAGUGGUGAAAUAUUCGGGCUCAACCGGGGAAUUGCUUCCAAUACUGUAAUGGCUUGAGUGCGAAAGGGGCAAGUGGAAUUCCAGGUGUAGCGGUGGAAUGCGUAGAUAUCUGGGAGAACGCCAAAGGCGAAGGCAGCUUGCUGGGUCGUAACUGACACUGAGGAACGAAAGCUAGGGGAGCAAA
rnacentral:rRNA from 1 species